AAGAAAAGUACCAGAAAUGAGAUCACAGAGUGUACUGUGAUCUCAUCACAGGACACUCCUCCAGCUCCAGAAACAACUGUUCCACAGCAGGCCAGACAGAAAAAUGAAGAAAACACCAGGCACUGUGGUUUAACAAGCCAAGCAGGAGUAACUAUUAGCAAAACAAGCUGAAUAAAUGCUACUAGAAAAUUCUAUAGCAAGGCAUGCGGCACAGGCCCUGCAGUGACCUGAGUGACUGCAACAUGCCAAAAGCAGCAGUAAACUGAAGUACAAUCACAGGCUCCCAAAUAACUGAGUUUAUGAUCCAAGCUUUCUUCAUCGCUUCGGACAGUACACGCCUACCCCACCCCAGUAUAUCCGUUAGGUCCUAGUAAACAUUUGUGGCACUGCU